CCUGGUUGAUCCUGCCAGUAGUCAUAUGCUUGUCUCAAAGAUUAAGCCAUGCAUGUCUCAGUACAUACCAAAAUAAGGUGAAACCGCGAAAGGCUCAUUAUAUCAGUUAUGGUUCAUUAGAUCGUACCAACAUUUACUUGGAUAACUGUGGUAAUUCUAGAGCUAAUACAUGCAUACAGAACUCCGACCGGAGACGGAAGGAGCGCUUUUAUUAGAUCAAAACCAACACGGGCGGCGGGGGCCGGCGGCGCCUCGCGCGUUGUCGCGUUCUCGCCGUCUAAACAUAGCUCGCACGACGAAUCUGAAUAACUUUAUGCCGAUCGCACGGUCACGCACCGGCGACGCAUCUUUCAAAUGUCUGCCUUAUCAACUUUCGAUGGUAGGUUAUGCGCCUACCAUGGUUGUAACGGGUAACGGGGAAUCAGGGUUCGAUUCCGGAGAGGGAGCCUGAGAAACGGCUACCACAUCCAAGGAAGGCAGCAGGCGCGCAAAUUACCCACUCCCGGCACGGGGAGGUAGUGACGAAAAAUAACGAUACGGGACUCAUCCGAGGCCCCGUGAUCGGAAUGAGCACACUUUAAAUCCUUUAACGAGGAUCAAUUGGAGGGCAAGUCUGGUGCCAGCAGCCGCGGUAAUUCCAGCUCCAAUAGCGUAUAUUAAAGUUGCUGCGGUUAAAAAGCUCGUAGUCGAAAUUGUGUCCUCGGCCGCCGGUUCGUCGCUCGCGACGCCAACUGGCGCGCACCGCUGGACGUCCAGCCGGUACAACGAACUCGCCUACGGGGUGCUCUUAACCGAGUGUCCAGGCGGGGGCCGGCAACGUUACUUUGAACAAAUUAAAGUGCUUAAAGCAGGCUAAAUUGCGCUCGCAUACACGCGCAUGGAAUAAUCGAAUAGGACCUCCGUUCUAUUUUGUUGGGUUUUUGUGGAACGACAGACGGAGGUAAUGAUCAAUGGGUGCGGAUGGGGGCAUUCGUAUUGCGACGUUAGAGGUGAAAUUCUUGGAUCGUCGCAAGACGGACUUAAGCGAAAGCAUUUGCCAAAAACGCUUUCAUCGAUCAAGAACGAAAGUUAGAGGUUCGAAGGCGAUCAGAUACCGCCCUAGUUCUAACCAUAAACUAUGCCAGCUAGCGAUCCGCCGAAGUUACUUCUAUGACUCGGCGGGCAGCUUCCGGGAAACCAAAGCUUUCGGGUUCCGGGGGAAGUAUGGUUGCAAAGCUGAAACUUAAAGGAAUUGACGGAAGGGCACCACCAGGAGUGGAGCCUGCGGCUUAAUUUGACUCAACACGGGAAACCUCACCAGGCCCGGACACCGGAAGGAUUGACAGAUUGAGAGCUCUUUCUUGAUUCGGUGGGUGGUGGUGCAUGGCCGUUCUUAGUUGGUGGAGCGAUUUGUCUGGUUAAUUCCGAUAACGAACGAGACUCUGUCCUGCUUAAUAGCCGAAAGAACGCACGGAGGCGCACGCCCGGCGGCGC
rnacentral:rRNA from 1 species